GACGAACGCUGGCGGCGUGCUUAACACAUGCAAGUCGAACGGAAAGGCCCUGCUUUUGUGGGGUGCUCGAGUGGCGAACGGGUGAGUAACACGUGAGUAACCUGCCCUUGACUUUGGGAUAACUUCAGGAAACUGGGGCUAAUACCGGAUAGGAGCUCCUGCUGCAUGGUGGGGGUUGGAAAGUUUCGGCGGUUGGGGAUGGACUCGCGGCUUAUCAGCUUGUUGGUGGGGUAGUGGCUUACCAAGGCUUUGACGGGUAGCCGGCCUGAGAGGGUGACCGGCCACAUUGGGACUGAGAUACGGCCCAGACUCCUACGGGACACAGCAGUGAGGAAUAUUGCACAAUGGACGGAAGCCUGAUGCAGCAACGCCGCGUGCGGGAUGACGGCCUUCGGGUUGUAAACCGCUUUCGCCUGUGACGAAGCGUUAGUAACGGUAAUAGGUAAAGAAGCACCGGCUAACUACGUG
rnacentral:rRNA from 1 species